rnacentral:tRNA from 1 species
GGGGCGGAUGUACCCAAGGGGAUCAAGGCAGGGGAUUGUGAAUCCACCAUGCGCG